rnacentral:rRNA from 1 species
ACGGGGGGUGCAAGCGUUGUUCGGAAUUAUUGGGCGUAAAGAGCGCGCAGGCGGCUGAAUAAGUCAGAUGUGAAAUCUCUGGGCUUAACUCAGGAAGUGCAUUUGAAACUAUUCAGCUUGAGUAUAGGUGAGGAGACUGGAAUUCGAUGUGUAGAGGUGAAAUGCUUAGAUAUGAGGAAGAACGCCAAUCGCGAAGACAGCUCACGAAAUUAUUACUGACGCUCAUGCACGAAAGCGUGGGGAGCAAACAG